rnacentral:rRNA from 1 species
GACGAACGCUGGCGGCGUGCUUAACACAUGCAAGUCGAACGGAAAGGCCCUGCUUUUGUGGGGUGCUCGAGUGGCGAACGGGUGAGUAACACGUGAGUAACCUGCCCUUGACUUUGGGAUAACUUCAGGAAACUGGGGCUAAUACCGGAUAGGAGCUCCUGCUGCAUGGUGGGGGUUGGAAAGUUUCGGCGGUUGGGGAUGGACUCGCGGCUUAUCAGCUUGUUGGUGGGGUAGUGGCUUACCAAGGCUUUGACGGGUAGCCGGCCUGAGAAGGUGACCGGCCACAUUGGGACUGAGAUACGGCCCAGACUCCUACAGGAGGCAGCAGUGGGGAAUAUUGCACAAUGGGCGGGAGCGUGAUGCAGCAGCGCCGCGUGCGGGAAGACGGCCUUCGGGUUGUAAACCGCUUUCGCCUGUGACGAAGCGUGAGUGACGGUAAUGGGUAAAGAAGCACCGGCUAACUACGUG